CACACAAUAUGAUUUUGAACAGCAUUAUCAUUAUUGUGGUCCAUAAGUAGUCACGUGAUUGAAAUGUAGUUUGUACACAGCCGCCCAAGUGAUAAUUUGCCAUUAAAAAAUCGUCUAAAUACUUUGUCCUAAGAAACAAUUUUUUUAUUUUACUCAACAUGGAUGAUAACAAGCACGUGUAGACAUGCUUCCAUGAUUUUUCCUUUAAUAAUUAAAGAUAAAAUUAUUGAAAAUUUAUUCAUAAUUAUGAAUUUAUUAAUUUUUAAAUAAAUUGUUGGCUAUUAAUUAUCAUUAGUCACUAUUAACUUUUCUUAAAAAAUUAUUUUCAAUGUAUCUUAAUGUUAACUUAAAACCAGGGCUCGGAACUUGGCAUUUGAAAAGCAUUUGCUUAUUUUUAUUGUUUAAAUAUAAUGUAUCAGAAUGAUAAGAUGUUUGUCAUGUUAUUUCAAAUGACUAUUUGACUAUUUCAAAUGUGAAAUUUCAAAGUGUAUUCUUAAGAAGAGGCCAUUUGUGAAACUCUAAUUACAGAUUUGAAAUCGGCACAAAAAUGGGUUUAAAAAAGUAUAAUUUGGUCGCAGAUGACAAUACCUUGUAGACCAGUAAAUCUAUUUAUUAAAAACAAACAAUUUUUUUUUAAGUAUUGCAUCAAGACCUUCAACUUGUAUAUAUGUUUGCUAUAAAAAAAUUGAACAACAAAUAAAAAGAUUAUGAAUUCAUUAAGAAUUAGUCAUGAUGUAUAUGCGUGCAAGAAAAUAAAGAAUUUUUUUCAACAUUUAUUUGUGACCUCACGACGAUAAAAAAUUUGACUUGAAAAAGUUAUAAUUUACUGAAUUCAAUAUCUGUUAACUCAAUAUCUAUAAUUAAAAUUGAUCCGUCUCUAAGUACCAUCAGUAUUUAUUUUAUUAUUAUAAAUUGUUUAUUAUAUUCAUUUUAUAAACUAUUUACCUUUUGCUUUUCUUUUUUA